rnacentral:snoRNA from 1 species
UUAAAAAAUUAUUGAAACACUAAAAAUUUCUUUGUAGCACAUGUCCUCGCCGUUGGGCGGGGCUGGGCGUGCCCCUCAGAGUGAAUGUGGAGGUUCCACAUGG